rnacentral:rRNA from 1 species
GACGAACGCUGGCGGCAGGCCUAACACAUGCAAGUCGAGCGGACCUUUCGGGGUCAGCGGCGGACGGGUGAGUAACGCGUGGGAAUAUGCCCUUCUCUACGGAAUAGUCCUGGGAAACUGGGGGUAAUACCGUAUACGCCCUUUGGGGGAAAGAUUUAUCGGGGAAGGAUUAGCCCGCGUUGGAUUAGGUAGUUGGUGGGGUAAUGGCCUACCAAGCCGACGAUCCAUAGCUGGUUUGAGAGGAUGAUCAGCCACACUGGGACUGAGACACGGCCCAGACUCCUACGGGAAGCAGCAGUGGGGAAUCUUAGACAAUGGGGGCAACCCUGAUCGAGCCAUGCCGCGUGAGUGAUGAAGGCCUUAGGGUUGUAAAGCUCUUUCAGCUGGGAAGAUAAUGACGGUACCAGCAGAAGAAGCCCCGGCUAACUCCGUG